rnacentral:lncRNA from 1 species
AACACUAAUAACAAUAUCAAUCUUCUCAUUUCUUGAUAACAAUAUACAUAAUUUAGCAAAACAAGAACACUAAUAACACUAUCAAUCUUCUCAUUUCUUGAUAACAAUAUACAAAAUUUAGCAAAACAAUAACACUAAUAACACUAUCAAUCUUCUCGUUUCUUGAUAACAAUAUACAAAAUUUAGUAAAACAACAACACUAAUAACACUAUCAAUCUUCUCAUUUCUUGAUAACAAUAUACAAAAUUUAUCGAAACAAGAACACUAAAAACACUAACAAUCUUCUCAUUUCUUGAUAACAAAAUACAUAAUUUAUCAAAACGAGAACACUAAUAACACUAUCAAUAUUCUCAUUUCUUGAUAACAAUAUACAAAAUUUAUCAAAACAAGAACACUAAUAACACUAUCAAUCUUCUCAUUUCUUGAUAACAAUUUACAAAAUUUAGCAAAACAAAAACACUAAUAACCCUAUCAAUCUUCUCAUUUCUUGAUAACAAUAUACAAAAUUUAGCUAAACAAGAACACUAAUAACACAAUCAAUCUUCUCAUUUCUUGAUAACAAUAUACAAAAUUUAGCAAAACAAGAACACUAAUAACACUAUCAAUCUUCUCAUUUCUUGAUAACAAUAUACAAAAUUUAGCAAAACAAGAACACUAAUAACACUAUCAAUCUUCUCAUUUCUUGAUAACAAUAUACAAAAUUUAGCAAAACAAGAACACUAAUAACACUAUCAAUCUUCUCAUUUCUUGAUAACAAUAUACAAAAUUUAGCAAAACAAGAACACUAAUAACACUAUCAAUCUUCUCAUUUCUUGAUAACAAUAUACAAAAUUUAGCAAAACAAGAACACUAAUAACACUAUCAAUCUUCUCAUUUCUUGAUAACAAUAUACAAAAUUUAGCAAAACAAGAACACUAAUAACACUAUCAAUCUUCUCAUUUCUUGAUAACAAUAUACAAAAUUUAGCAAAACAAGAACACUAAUAACACUAUCAAUCUUCUCAUUUCUUGAUAACAAUAUACAAAAUUUAGCAAAACAAGAACACUAAUAACACUAUCAAUCUUCUCAUUUCUUGAUAACAAUAUACAAAAUUUAGCAAAACAAGAACACUAAUAACACUAUCAAUCUUCUCAUUUCUUGAUAACAAUAUACAAAAUUUAGCAAAACAAGAACACUAAUAACACUAUCAAUCUUCUCAUUUCUUGAUAACAAUAUACAAAAUUUAGCAAAACAAGAACACUAAUAACACUAUCAAUCUUCUCAUUUCUUGAUAACAAUAUACAAAAUUUAGCAAAACAAGAACACUAAUAACACUAUCAAUCUUCUCAUUUCUUGAUAACAAUAUACAAAAUUUAGCAAAACAAGAACACUAAUAACACUAUCAAUCUUCUCAUUUCUUGAUAACAAUAUACAAAAUUUAGCAAAACAAGAACACUAAUAACACUAUCAAUCUUCUCAUUUCUUGAUAACAAUAUACAAAAUUUAGCAAAACAAGAACACUAAUAACACUAUCAAUCUUCUCAUUUCUUGAUAACAAUAUACAAAAUUUAGCAAAACAAGAACACUAAUAACACUAUCAAUCUUCUCAUUUCUUGAUAACAAUAUACAAAAUUUAGCAAAACAAGAACACUAAUAACACUAUCAAUCUUCUCAUUUCUUGAUAACAAUAUACAAAAUUUAGCAAAACAAGAACACUAAUAACACUAUCAAUCUUCUCAUUUCUUGAUAACAAUAUACAAAAUUUAGCAAAACAAGAACACUAAUAACACUAUCAAUCUUCUCAUUUCUUGAUAACAAUAUACAAAAUUUAGCAAAACAAGAACACUAAUAACACUAUCAAUCUUCUCAUUUCUUGAUAUCAAUAUACAAAAUUUAGCAAAACAAGAACACUAAUAACACUAUCAAUCUGCUCAUUUCUUGAUAACAAUAUACAAAAUUUAGCAAAACAAGAACAAUAAUAACACUAUCAAUCUUCUCAUUUCUUGAUAACAAUAUACAAAAUUUAGCAAAACAAGAACACUAAUCACACUAUCAAUCUUCUAUUUCUUGAUAACAAUAUACAAAAUUUAGCAAAAUAAGAACACUAAUAACACUAUCAAUCUUCUCAUUUCUUGAUAACAAUAUACAAAAUUUAGCAAAAUAAGAACCCUAAUAACACUAUCAAUCUUCUCAUUUCUUGGCAACAAUAUACAGAUUAGUAUGCUAAGAAAAAAGAAGCAAAGGAAUAACUCACGUAAUAGAGUCCUAAAGAUGUGCGUACGAAUAUAGGAGGCAGUGGUGUGGGCUUUGAAGCCAUCAUAAAUUCAAACGAACAGUGCGUCAUGACUUACAUCGACUUGGUCGUGAUCUUCCACAUCCUUAUUUGACUGAACAGAAGCCAUUGAGAAUUCUCCAUGGCAAUGCCUUUCAUUUUUGAGAGUUUUUGCUAAAGGGUCAGCGUCAAACAUUUCUUGAUAACAAUAACACUAAUAACACUAUCAAUCUUCAAACUUCUUGAUAACAAUAUACAAAAUUUAGCAAAACAAGAACACUAUUAACACUAUCAAUCUUCUCAUUUCUUGAUAACAAUAUACAAAAUUUAGCAAAACAAGAACACUAAUAACACUAUCAAUCUUCUUUUCUUGAAUAACAAUAUACAAAAAUUUAGCCAAAACAAGAACGACUAAUAACACUAAUUCAAUCUUCUCAUUUCUUGAUAACAUAUACAAAAUUUCAUCAAAAGAAAAAACACUAAUAACACUAUCAAUCUCUCAUUUCUUGAUAACAUAUAUUUAAAAUUUAGCAAACAAGAACACUAAUACCACGAUCAAUCUUCUCGGUUUCUUAUAUACAAUUAUACAAAAUUUAGCUAAAAACAGAAACACUAUAAGCAUCUCUCUUCUGAUCAAUAACAAUUUAUCACACACUUAACAUCAUCUUCAUUUGCUUGAUAACAAUACAAAAUUAGCAAAACAAGAACACUAAUAACACUAUCAAUCUUCUCAUUUCUUG